rnacentral:rRNA from 1 species
AGCGAACGCUGGCGGCAGGCCUAACACAUGCAAGUCGAACGCCCAGCAAUGGGAGUGGCAGACGGGAUAGUAACACGUGGGAACGCGCCCUUCGGUUCGGAAUAACUCAGGGAAACUUGAGCUAAUACCGGAUACGCCCUUACGGGGAAAGAUUUAUUGCCGAAGGAACGGCCCGCGUCGGAUUAGCUAGUUGGUGAGGUAAUGGCUCACCAAGGCGACGAUCCGUAGCUGGUCUGAGAGGAUGACCAGCAUCACUGGGACUGAGACACGGCCCAGACUCCUACGGGAGGCAGCAGUGGGGAAUAUUGGACAAUGGGCGCAAGCCUGAUCCAGCCAUGCCGCGUGGAUGAUGAAGGCCCUAGGGUUGUAAAGUCCUUUUAACGGGGAAGAUAAUGACGGUACCCGUAGAAUAAGCCCCGGCUAACUUCGUGCCAGCAGCCGCGGUAAUACGAAGGGGGCUAGCGUUGCUCGGAAUUACUGGGCGUAAAGCGCACGUAGGCGGGUCGAUAAGUCGGGGGUGAAAUCCUGGAGCUCAACUCCAGAACUGCCUUCGAAACUGUCGAUCUUGAGUUCGGGAGAGGUGAGUGGAACUGCGAGUGUAGAGGUGAAAUUCGUAGAUAUUCGCAAGAACACCAGUGGCGAAGGCGGCUCACUGGCCCGAUACUGACGC